rnacentral:rRNA from 1 species
AACAGGAUUAGAUACCCUGGUAGUCCACGCCCUAAACGAUGUCAACUAGUUGUCGGGUCUUCAUUGACUUGGUAACGUAGCUAACGCGUGAAGCUGACCGCCUGGGGAGUACGGUCGCAAGAUUAAAACUCAAAGGAAUUGACGGGGACCCGCACAAGCGGUGGAUGAUGUGGAUUAAUUCGAUGCAACGCGAAAAACCUUACCUACCCUUGACAUGUCUGAGAUCCUGAAGAGAUUUGGGAGUGCUCGAAAGAGAAUCAGAACACAGGUGCUGCAUGGCCGUCGUCAGCUCGUGUCGUGAGAUGUUGGGUUAAGUCCCGCAACGAGCGCAACCCUUGUCAUUAGUUGCUACGAAAGGGCACUCUAAUGAGACUGCCGGUGACAAACCGGAGGAAGGUGGGGAUGACGUCAGGUCAUCAUGGCCCUUAUGGGUAGGGCUACACACGUCAUACAAUGGCCGGUACAGAGGGCUGCCAACCCGCGAGGGGGAGCUAAUCCCAGAAAACCGGUCGUAGUCCGGAUCGUAGUCUGCAACUCGACUGCGUGAAGUCGGAAUCGCUAGUAAUCGCGGAUCAGCUUGCCGCGGCGAAUACGUUCCCGGGUCUUGUACACACCGCCCGUCACA